rnacentral:rRNA from 1 species
CCUACGGGUGGCAGCAGUGGGGAAUAUUGCACAAUGGGGGGAACCCUGAUGCAGCGAAGCCGCGUGAGUGAAGAAGUAUUUCGGUAUGUAAAGCCCUAUCAGCAGGGAAGAAAAUGACGGUACCUGACUAAGAAGCCCCGGCUAACUACGUGCCAGCAGCCGCGGUAAUACGUAGGGGGCAAGCGUUAUCCGGAUUUACUGGGUGUAAAGGGAGCGCAGACGGCUGUGCAAGUCCGGAGUGAAAGCCGGGGGGCCAACCCCCGGAUUGCUCUGGAAACUGUAAAGCUGGAGUGCAGGAGAGGUAAGCGGAAUUCCUGGUGUAGCGGUGAAAUGCGUAGAUAUCACGCAGAACCCCGAUUGCGAAGGCAGCCUUCCGGCGCCCGACUGAUGCUGAGGCACGAAAGUGCGGGGAUCGAACAGGAUUAGAUACCCCUGUAGUC